UGGGGAAUAUUGCACAAUGGGCGCAAGCCUGAUGCAGCCAUGCCGCGUGUGUGAAGAAGGCCUUCGGGUUGUAAAGCACUUUCAGCGAGGAGGAAGGUGGUGAGCUUAAUACGCUCAUCAAUUGACGUUACUCGCAGAAGAAGCACCGGCUAACUCCGUGCCAGCAGCCGCGGUAAUACGGAGGGUGCAAGCGUUAAUCGGAAUUACUGGGCGUAAAGCGCACGCAGGCGGUUUGUUAAGUCAGAUGUGAAAUCCCCGGGCUCAACCUGGGAACUGCAUUUGAAACUGGCAAGCUAGAGUCUCGUAGAGGGGGGUAGAAUUCCAGGUGUAGCGGUGAAAUGCGUAGAGAUCUGGAGGAAUACCGGUGGCGAAGGCGGCCCCCUGGACGAAGACUGACGCUCA
rnacentral:rRNA from 1 species